GGGUCCAAAGGUGAAUGGCCGUCUCAUAUGUUGUCGACUGAGCAGUGAAGAACGGUCAGACAAAACUCAUCCAUUGAACUGCAGUCAUGAAGUGUGCUGCUAUAGCUUUGCUCCUGUGUGCUCAGCUUCAUCUUCUUCAUGGUGGCUGUGUCUCUUGGAGGAUUAAACCAGGUGAGACUCACUGUCAGGACUUUGUGGACAAGACCUGGCAUCCCUUUGGCUCUAGAUGGAGGAACUCUGCAUGUCAGGACUGCACCUGUGAGCGGUGCUGCAAUGCGUAUGCGACGCCCAGGAAAAUACCAGAUGACUGCAUGAUGGAAUUUGACCAGACAGAGUGUAAAUACAAGGUGUUCAAGAAGAAUGACCGCACACAGUCAUGCCCAGUGCUUGCAGGAGUGUUGUAAGCUGAUUCUUCCAAAGACAAUAAAAGCUUCCCUCAAAUAAACA